rnacentral:rRNA from 1 species
GACGAACGCUGGCGGCGUGCUUAACACAUGCAAGUCGAACGGAAAGGCCCUGCUUUUGUGGGGUGCUCGAGUGGCGAACGGGUGAGUAACACGUGAGUAACCUGCCCUUGACUUUGGGAUAACUUCAGGAAACUGGGGCUAAUACCGGAUAGGAGCUCCUGCUGCAUGGUGGGGGUUGGAAAGUUUCGGCGGUUGGGGAUGGACUCGCGGCUUAUCAGCUUGUUGGUGGGGUAGUGGCUUACCAAGGCUUUGACGGGUAGCCGGCCUGAGAGGGUGACCGGCCACAUUGGGACUGAGAUACGGCCCAGACUCCUACGGGAGGCAGCAGUGGGGAAUAUUGCACAAUGGGCGGAAGCCUGAUGCAGCAACGCCGCGUGCGGGAUG